GGGCGAUUAGCUCAGUUGGUAGAGCAUCUCCCUUACAAGGAGGGGGUCACUGGUUCGAACCCGGUAUCGCCCACCA
rnacentral:tRNA from 2 species